rnacentral:rRNA from 1 species
GACGAACGCUGGCGGCGUGCUUAACACAUGCAAGUCGAACGGAAAGGCCCUGCUUUUGUGGGGUGCUCGAGUGGCGAACGGGUGAGUAACACGUGAGUAACCUGCCCUUGACUUUGGGAUAACUUCAGGAAACUGGGGCUAAUACCGGAUAGGAGCUCCUGCUGCAUGGUGGGGGUUGGAAAGUUUCGGCGGUUGGGGAUGGACUCGCGGCUUAUCAGCUUGUUGGUGGGGUAGUGGCUUACCAAGGCUUUGACGGGUAGCCGGCCUGAGAGGGUGACCGGCCACAUUGGGACUGAGAUACGGCCCAGACUCCUACGGGAGGCAGCAGUGGGGAAUAUUGCACAAUGGGCGGAAGCCUGAUGCAGCAACGCCGCGUGCGGGAUGACGGCCUUCGGGUUGUAAACCGCUUUCGCCUGUGACGAAGCGUGAGUGACGGUAAUGGGUAAAGAAGCACCGGCUAACUACGUGCCAGCAGCCGCGGUGAUACGUAGGGUGCGAGCGUUGUCCGGAUUUAUUGGGCGUAAAGGGCUCGUAGGUGGUUGAUCGCGUCGGAAGUGUAAUCUUGGGGCUUAACCCUGAGCGUGCUUUCGAUACGGGUUGACUUGAGGAAGGUAGGGGAGAAUGGAAUUCCUGGUGGAGCGGUGGAAUGCGCAGAUAUCAGGAGGAACACCAGUGGCGAAGGCGGUUCUCUGGGCCUUUCCUGACGCUGAGGAGCGAAAGCGUGGGGAGCGAACAGGCUUAGAUACCCUGGUAGUCCACGCUGUAAACGGUGGGUACUAGGUGUGGGGUCCAUUCUACGGGUUCCGUGCCGUAGCUAACGCUUUAAGUACCCCGCCUGGGGAGUACGGCCGCAAGGCUAAAACUCAAAGGAAUUGACGGGGCCCCGCACAAGCGGCGGAGCAUGCGGAUUAAUUCGAUGCAACGCGUAGAACCUUACCUGGGUUUGACAUGGAUCGGGAGUGCUCAGAGAUGGGUGUGCCUCUUUUGGGGUCGGUUCACAGGUGGUGCAUGGCUGUCGUCAGCUCGUGUCGUGAGAUGUUGGGUUAAGUCCCGCAACGAGCGCAACCCUUGUUCACUGUUGCCAGCACGUUAUGGUGGGGACUCAGUGGAGACCGCCGGGGUCAACUCGGAGGAAGGUGGGGAUGACGUCAAGUCAUCAUGCCCCUUAUGUCCAGGGCUUCACGCAUGCUACAAUGGCUGGUACAGAGAGUGGCGAGCCUGUGAGGGUGAGCGAAUCUCGGAAAGCCGGUCUCAGUUCGGAUUGGGGUCUGCAACUCGACCUCAUGAAGUCGGAGUCGCUAGUAAUCGCAGAUCAGCAACGCUGCGGUGAAUACGUUCCCGGGGCU